AGUUACUGCUAUCCGAAUCCGACUAAGCCAUGCUAGUUUUGGAGUUCAAUUUUGGACUCCAUGGCAAAAAGCUCAGUAACACGUAGUUAACCUGCCCUUAGAUCUGGGAUAAUCUCGGGAAACUGAGGCUAAUACCAGAUAGAUAAUUAUUCCUGGAAUGGUUUUUUAUCUAAAGCUUCGGCGUCUAAGGAUGGGACUGCGGCAGAUUAGGUUGUUGUGAAGGUAAUGUCUUCACAAGCCGAUAAUCUGUACGGGCCUUGAGAGAGGGAGCCCGGAGAUGGAUUCUGAGACAAGAAUCCAGGCCCUACGGGGCGCAGCAGGCGCGAAACUUUCCCAAUGCACGCAAGAGUGAGGAAGGGAUUUGGAGUGUCUUCUCUUACUUAAGGGGAGACUUUUGUGAAGUCUAAAAAGCUUUAAGAAUAAGUGGUGGGUAAGACGGGUGCCAGCCGCCGCGGUAAUACCCGCGCCACGAGUGGUGACCAUGUUUAUUGGGCUUAAAGCGUUCGUAGCCGGUUCAUCAAGUCUUUAGUGAAAUCCCACAGAUAACUGUGGAGCUUGCUAGAGAUACUGGCGAACUUGAGACCGGGAGAGGUCGAGGGUAUACCAGGGGUAGGGGUAAAAUCCUAUAAUCCCUGGAGGACCACCUGUGGCGAAGGCGCUCGACCAGAACGGAUCUGACGGUGAGGGACGAAAGCCAGGGGAGCGAAGGGGAUUAGAUACCCCCGUAGUCCUGGCUGUAAACGAUGCCCACUAGACGUUGGCAGUCUUACGUGGGCUGCCAGUGUCGUAGCGAAAGCGUUAAGUGGGCCGCCUGGGGAGUACGGUCGCAAGGCUGAAACUUAAGGGAAUUGGCGGGGGAGCACACAAGGGGUGGAGGCUGCGGUUU
rnacentral:rRNA from 1 species